AUUGAACGCUGGCGGCAGGCCUAACACAUGCAAGUCGAGCGGAUGAAGGGAGCUUGCUCCUGGAUUCAGCGGCGGACGGGUGAGUAAUGCCUAGGAAUCUGCCUGGUAGUGGGGGAUAACGUCCGGAAACGGGCGCUAAUACCGCAUACGUCCUGAGGGAGAAAGUGGGGGAUCUUCGGACCUCACGCUAUCAGAUGAGCCUAGGUCGGAUUAGCUAGUUGGUGGGGUAAAGGCCUACCAAGCCGACGAUCCGUAACUGGUCGGAGAGGAUGAUCAGUCACACUGGAACUGAGACACGGUCCAGACUCCUACGGGAGGCAGCAGUGGGGAAUAUUGGACAAUGGGCGAAAGCCUGAUCCAGCCAUGGCGCGUGUGUGAAGAAGGUCUUCGGAUUGUAAAGCACUUUAAGUUGGGAGGAAGGGCAGUAAGUUAAUACCUUGCUGUUUUGACGUUACCAACAGAAUAAGCACCGGCUAACUUCGUG
rnacentral:rRNA from 1 species